GUGGGUUACAAAAGAAGUAGGUAGCUUAACCUUCGGGAGGGCGCUUACCACUUUGUGAUUCAUGACUGGGGUGAAGUCGUAACAAGGUAACCGUAGGGGAACCUGCGGUUGGAUCACCUCCUUACCUGAAAGAAGC
rnacentral:rRNA from 1 species